rnacentral:misc_RNA from 1 species
GAUGAAGAACGUAGCGAAAUGCGAUACGUAAUGUGAAUUGCAAAUUCAGUGAAUCAUCGAGUCUUUGAACGCACAUUGCGCCCCCUGGUAUUCCGGGGGGCAUGCCUGUCCGAGCGUCAUUGCUGCCCUCAAGCACGGCUUGUGUGUUGGGCCCCGUCCUCCGAUCCCGGGGGACGGGCCCGAAAGGCAGCGGCGGCACCGCGUCCGGUCCUCGAGCGUAUGGGGCUUUGUCACCCGCUCUGUAGGCCCGGCCGGCGCUUGCCGAUCAACCCAAAUUUUUUAUCCAGGUUGACCUCGGAUCAGGUAGGGAUACCCGCUGAACUUAAGCAUAUCAAUAAGCGGAUGA